GCCACGGCUAAUUCCGUGCCAGCAGCCGCGGUAAUACGGGAGUGGCAAGCGUUAUCCGGAAUUAUUGGGCGUAAAGCGUCCGCAGGCGGCCUUGUAAGUCUGUCGUUAAAGCGUGGAGCUUAACUCCAUUUAAGCGAUGGAAACUACAAGGCUUGAGUGUGGUAGGGGCAGAGGGAAUUCCCGGUGUAGCGGCGAAAUGCGUAGAUAUCGGGAAGAACACCAGUGGCGAAGGCGCUCUGCUGGGCCAUAACUGACGCUCAUGGACGAAACCAGGGGAGCGAAAGGGAUUAGAUACCCCUGUAGUCCUGGCCGUAAACGAUGAACACUAGGUGUCGGGGGAAUCGACCCCCUCGGUGUCGUAGCUAACGCGUUAAGUGUUCCGCCUGGGGAGUACGCACGCAAGUGUGAAACUCAAAGGAAUUGACGGGGGCCCGCACAAGCGGUGGAGUAUGUGGUUUAAUUCGAUGCAACGCGAAGAACCUUACCAGGGUUUGACAUCCUGCGAAUCCCUUGGAAACGAGGGAGUGCCUUCGGGAGCGCAGAGACAGGUGGUGCAUGGCUGUCGUCAGCUCGUGUCGUGAGAUGUUGGGUUAAGUCCCGCAACGAGCGCAACCCACGUCUUUAGUUGCCAGCAUUCAGUUGGGCACUCUAGAGAGACCGCCGGUGAUAAACCGGAGGAAGGUGUGGAUGACGUCAAGUCAUCAUGCCCCUUACAUCCUGGGCUACACACGUACUACAAUGCUACGGACAAAGGGUUGCAAGCUCGCGAGAGUUAGCUAAUCCCAUAAACCGUGGCUCAGUUCAGAUCGUAGGCUGCAACUCGCCUACGUGAAGGAGGAAUCGCUAGUAAUCGCAGGUCAGCAUACUGCGGUGAAUACGUUCCCGGGCCUUGUACACACCGCCCGUCACACCAUGGAAG
rnacentral:rRNA from 1 species